rnacentral:rRNA from 1 species
UGUCAGCCGCCGCGGUAAUACGGAGGGUGCAAGCGUUACUCGGAAUCACUGGGCGUAAAGCGCAUGUAGGCGGUCUUGUAAGUUGGGUGUGAAAGCCUAUGGCUCAACCAUAGAACUGCACCCAAAACUACUAGACUAGAGUCUGGGAGAGGAAAAUGGAAUUAGUUGUGUAGGGGUAAAAUCCGUAGAGAUAACUAGGAAUACCAAAAGCGAAGGCGAUCUUCUGGAACAGUACUGACGCUGAGGCGCGAAAGCGUGGGGAGCAAACAGGAUUAGAUACCCUGGUAGUCCACGCCCUAAACGAUGAAUGUUAGUCGUCGGGAGGCUCGUCCUUUCGGUGAUGCAGUUAACACAUUAAACAUUCCGCCUGGGGAGUACGGUCGCAAGAUUAAAACUCAAAGGAAUUGGCGG